rnacentral:sRNA from 1 species
GAACUGGAGGGGACGCAGAGGAGGAGCAAAGGUCUGGGCUUUGGGGAAUUCUCCGAUUUAGGGCAUGGAAGAAAGAAGAGGAAAGGAAAUGGUUAAUAAUCCAGUUGCAUGAGAAGGAACAGCAUGUUCAAGAUAUCAUUCCUAUAAAUAGCCACUUCAGAUGUGUUCAAGAAGCAGAAGAAACUCUUUUGAUUGACAUAGCUUCUAACAAAAGGAGAAGGCAGAAACAACACUUAAAAAAGCAAAAUUAGAACAAAGGCAAUUCCAUAACAACUGACACUGCUGCUGAAAUAAGAGAUGGAAGUGUCCUGUAUUUGAUGUGGAGAAGUAUUUGAUUCAAAGCUGAAAAGUUAAACUGAGCUGUGCCUUUUCUCUUAUAAGCACCUAAUUUUCAGCAUUAGUUUUGUUGUAGCCGCUUCUACAUUAGCCAUGUGUUGCUAUGUCCAUAGUUCUAGUUACUGGCUCACAGGGGGAAAAUAGGUGGCUGCAAAAUUCGGGUUCAGGGAGACUGGAUCAGAGAGCGCCGCUUUGAAAUCCCUGAUGAGGAACACUGUUUGAAGUUCCUCUCAGCUGUCCUUGCUGCUCAGAAAGCUCAGUCACAACUUCUUGUUCCAGAGCAAAAGGACUCAUCUAGCUGGUACCAGAAAUUAGACACUAAGGACAAACCUUCUGUUUUUUCAGGGCUUCUUGGAUUUGAAGACAAUUUUUCUUCUAUGAAUUUGGACAAGAAAAUAAAUUCACAAAAUCAGCCUACUGGGAUUCAUCGGGAACCCCCACCUCCACCCUCUUCAGUGAAUAAAAUGCUUCCACGUGAAAAAGAAGCUUCUAACAAGGAGCAGCCCAAAGUGACCAACACCAUGCGGAAGCUCUUUGUACCAAAUACCCAAUCUGGGCAGCGGGAGGGUCUCAUCAAACAUAUCCUGGCAAAGCGAGAGAAAGAAU